GUUAUAUGGUCAAGUGAAGAAGCGCAUACGGUGGAUGCCUUGGCAGUCAGAGGCGAUGAAAGACGUGGUAGCCUGCGAAAAGCUUCGGGGAGUCGGCAAACAGACUUUGAUCCGGAGAUCUCUGAAUGGGGGAACCCACCUAGGAUAACCUAGGUAUCUUGUACUGAAUCCAUAGGUGCAAGAGGCGAACCAGGGGAACUGAAACAUCUAAGUACCCUGAGGAAAAGAAAUCAACCGAGAUUCCCUUAGUAGUGGCGAGCGAACGGGGAUUAGCCCUUAAGCUUCAUUGAUUUUAGCGGAACGCUCUGGAAAGUGCGGCCAUAGUGGGUGAUAGCCCCGUACGCGAAAGGAUCUUUGAAGUGAAAUCGAGUAGGACGGAGCACGAGAAACUUUGUCUGAACAUGGGGGGACCAUCCUCCAAGGCUAAAUACUACUGACUGACCGAUAGUGAACCAGUACCGUGAGGGAAAGGCGAAAAGAACCCCGGAGAGGGGAGUGAAAUAGAACCUGAAACCGUAUGCGUACAAGCAGUGGGAGCCUACUUGUUAGGUGACUGCGUACCUUUUGUAUAAUGGGUCAGCGACUUAUAUUCAGUGGCAAGCUUAACCGUAUAGGGUAGGCGUAGCGAAAGCGAGUCUUAAUAGGGCGUUUAGUCGCUGGGUAUAGACCCGAAACCGGGCGAUCUAUCCAUGAGCAGGUUGAAGGUUAGGUAACACUGACUGGAGGACCGAACCCACUCCCGUUGAAAAGGUAGGGGAUGACUUGUGGAUCGGAGUGAAAGGCUAAUCAAGCUCGGAGAUAGCUGGUUCUCCUCGAAAGCUAUUUAGGUAGCGCCUCAUGUAUCACUCUGGGGGGUAGAGCACUGUUUCGGCUAGGGGGUCAUCCCGACUUACCAAACCGAUGCAAACUCCGAAUACCCAGAAGUGCCGAGCAUGGGAGACACACGGCGGGUGCUAACGUCCGUCGUGAAAAGGGAAACAACCCAGACCGCCAGCUAAGGUCCCAAAGUUGUGGUUAAGUGGUAAACGAUGUGGGAAGGCUUAGACAGCUAGGAGGUUGGCUUAGAAGCAGCCACCCUUUAAAGAAAGCGUAAUAGCUCACUAGUCGAGUCGGCCUGCGCGGAAGAUGUAACGGGGCUCAAACCACACACCGAAGCUGCGGGUGUCACGUAAGUGACGCGGUAGAGGAGCGUUCUGUAAGCCUGUGAAGGUGAGUUGAGAAGCUUGCUGGAGGUAUCAGAAGUGCGAAUGCUGACAUGAGUAACGACAAUGGGUGUGAAAAACACCCACGCCGAAAGACCAAGGGUUCCUGCGCAACGUUAAUCGACGCAGGGUUAGUCGGUUCCUAAGGCGAGGCUGAAAAGCGUAGUCGAUGGGAAACAGGUUAAUAUUCCUGUACUUCUGGUUACUGCGAUGGAGGGACGGAGAAGGCUAGGCCAGCUUGGCGUUGGUUGUCCAAGUUUAAGGUGGUAGGCUGAAAUCUUAGGUAAAUCCGGGGUUUCAAGGCCGAGAGCUGAUGACGAGUCGUCUUUUAGAUGACGAAGUGGUUGAUGCCAUGCUUCCAAGAAAAGCUUCUAAGCUUCAGGUAACCAGGAACCGUACCCCAAACCGACACAGGUGGUCGGGUAGAGAAUACCAAGGCGCUUGAGAGAACUCGGGUGAAGGAACUAGGCAAAAUGGCACCGUAACUUCGGGAGAAGGUGCGCCGGCUAGGGUGAAGGAUUUACUCCGUAAGCUCUGGCUGGUCGAAGAUACCAGGCCGCUGCGACUGUUUAUUAAAAACACAGCACUCUGCAAACACGAAAGUGGACGUAUAGGGUGUGACGCCUGCCCGGUGCCGGAAGGUUAAUUGAUGGGGUUAGCGCAAGCGAAGCUCUUGAUCGAAGCCCCGGUAAACGGCGGCCGUAACUAUAACGGUCCUAAGGUAGCGAAAUUCCUUGUCGGGUAAGUUCCGACCUGCACGAAUGGCGUAACGAUGGCGGCGCUGUCUCCACCCGAGACUCAGUGAAAUUGAAAUCGCUGUGAAGAUGCAGUGUAUCCGCGGCUAGACGGAAAGACCCCGUGAACCUUUACUGUAGCUUUGCACUGGACUUUGAGCCUGCUUGUGUAGGAUAGGUGGGAGGCUUUGAAGCGUGGACGCCAGUUCGCGUGGAGCCAUCCUUGAAAUACCACCCUGGCAUGCUUGAGGUUCUAACUCUGGUCCGUGAUCCGGAUCGAGGACAGUGUAUGGUGGGCAGUUUGACUGGGGCGGUCUCCUCCUAAAGAGUAACGGAGGAGUACGAAGGUGCGCUCAGACCGGUCGGAAAUCGGUC
rnacentral:rRNA from 1 species